UACAGAGGUCUCGAGCGUUAGGCGGAAUCACUGGGCUUAAAGCGUGUGUAGGCGGAUCGGUAAGUACCUUGUGAAAUCCCACAGCUUAACUGUGGAACUGCUUGGUAUACUGCCAGUCUUGAGCCACUUAGGGGCUACCGGAACAAAUGGUGGAGCGGUGAAAUGCGUAGAUAUCAUUUGGAACGCCAAUGGUGAAAACAGGUAGCUGGGAGUGAUGCUGACGCUGAGACACGAAAGCCAGGGGAGCAAACGGG
rnacentral:rRNA from 1 species